rnacentral:pre_miRNA from 10 species
CAAUAUAUUUUUUUUCAAAGUGUGUUGACUUGGUCCCAACAGUUUUUCAAAGUGUGUUAAUUUUGAGACCAGGUCAACGCACUUUGAAAAAAAAUAUUU